rnacentral:rRNA from 1 species
ACGCUGGCGGCGUGCCUAAUACAUGCAAGUCGAACGAACUCUGGUAUUGAUUGGUGCUUGCAUCAUGAUUUACAUUUGAGUGAGUGGCGAACUGGUGAGUAACACGUGGGAAACCUGCCCAGAAGCGGGGGAUAACACCUGGAAACAGAUGCUAAUACCGCAUAACAACUUGGACCGCAUGGUCCGAGCUUGAAAGAUGGCUUCGGCUAUCACUUUUGGAUGGUCCCGCGGCGUAUUAGCUAGAUGGUGGGGUAACGGCUCACCAUGGCAAUGAUACGUAGCCGACCUGAGAGGGUAAUCGGCCACAUUGGGACUGAGACACGGCCCAAACUCCUACGGGAGGCAGCAGUAGGGAAUCUUCCACAAUGGACGAAAGUCUGAUGGAGCAACGCCGCGUGAGUGAAGAAGGGUUUCGGCUCGUAAAACUCUGUUGUUAAAGAAGAACAUAUCUGAGAGUAACUGUUCAGGUAUUGACGGUAUUUAACCAGAAAGCCACGGCUAACUACGUGCCAGCAGCCGCGGUAAUACGUAGGUGGCAAGCGUUGUCCGGAUUUAUUGGGCGUAAAGCGAGCGCAGGCGGUUUUUUAAGUCUGAUGUGAAAGCCUUCGGCUCAACCGAAGAAGUGCAUCGGAAACUGGGAAACUUGAGUGCAGAAGAGGACAGUGGAACUCCAUGUGUAGCGGUGAAAUGCGUAGAUAUAUGGAAGAACACCAGUGGCGAAGGCGGCUGUCUGGUCUGUAACUGACGCUGAGGCUCGAAAGUAUGGGUAGCAAACAGGAUUAGAUACCCUGGUAGUCCAUACCGUAAACGAUGAAUGCUAAGUGUUGGAGGGUUUCCGCCCUUCAGUGCUGCAGCUAACGCAUUAAGCAUUCCGCCUGGGGAGUACGGCCGCAAGGCUGAAACUCAAAGGAAUUGACGGGGGCCCGCACAAGCGGUGGAGCAUGUGGUUUAAUUCGAAGCUACGCGAAGAACCUUACCAGGUCUUUGACAUACUAUGCAAAUCUAAGAGAUUAGACGUUCCCUUCGGGGACAUGGAUACAGGUGGUGCAUGGUUGUCGUCAGCUCGUGUCGUGAGAUGUUGGGUUAAGUCCCGCAACGAGCGCAACCCUUAUUAUCAGUUGCCAGCAUUAAGUUGGGCACUCUGGUGAGACUGCCGGUGACAAACCGGAGGAAGGUGGGGAUGACGUCAAAUCAUCAUGCCCCUUAUGACCUGGGCUACACACGUGCUACAAUGGAUGGUACAACGAGUUGCGAACUCGCGAGAGUAAGCUAAUCUCUUAAAGCCAUUCUCAGUUCGGAUUGUAGGCUGCAACUCGCCUACAUGAAGUCGGAAUCGCUAGUAAUCGCGGAUCAGCAUGCCGCGGUGAAUACGUUCCCGGGCCUUGUACACACCGCCCGUCACACCAUGAGAGUUUGUAACACCCAAAGUCGGUGGGGUAACCUUUUAGGAACCAGCCGCCUAAGGUGGGACAGAUGAUU